ensembl:lncRNA
CAAGCAAGGAGAGGGCACGGAUUGCUCCGUCGGCCCCGGCGUCUCCUCCGUCGGCCCCGGCGUCUCCUCCGUCGGCCCCGGCGUCUCCAGCGCCCUUCGGAUUUGACCAUUUGCGAUGUCCUCUAACAACGCUAACGCAGCCAUUUUUAAAACAAUUUUCUUCAUCCAUUGCGCAUGCUUUUAUAGCCACCCAUAUAAUUGCAAGGUGUGUUAAUUGUUCAUUAGUGUGUCAUUGUUUUCACCUUUUUUCCCAGUUUCCCAGCGUCACCUCUAAGUGUCGCCAAAGGAACAAUAGCUGUAGAAACGUGCGUACGACAGCUCUGGAGCUGGCGUGGGGACCGCACAUUUUUGCGGUCAUUUCACGUUUUGUACAUCUGAACGUGAGCGUGGAAAAGGACGUACGCCACGUUUUUGUGCGUACGAACUUUAGUACAUGAGGCCCCUGGUAUUUUGCCACAGAGGCUACUUUUGACUUCAGUAUUCCUAUAAAGCCGACGUGGUACACACUGCACAGUCUCGUCUCAACGGUGCAAGGAGUCUGUUUGAAACCUGCAUCCUCUUGUGAUUCGGCUGAAAAUGCUGGCAAAAGUGGAAUAUGGGGGAGUCCAAAAAUACAUUAAAGUUCCUCAAACUGAUGACAAUUUCCAUUUCCUCCAGUUUCUUCAAGAAGCAACAGACAAAUUUAGUCUGCAGGCUCAACAUCUAUCCGAGGGUGUGUUAGCCUUGACUGAUGCAUCAGAUACCGAGGUUGAUGCAGACACAUUUGAUGAGCUGAUAAAGUCAGGGUUCCGAAACUUCAAGGUUGGAUACCGCAAGUACCCAGUAACGGAGUUGGACAUUGAAUUGGUGGAAUACAACUCGCAGUCCUCCGUAUUGUCAGACUCCACAGCAUCACCAGUUUCAUUGCCAGGACCCCCCGCAUCACCAGCUUCUACAAGUUCAGGUUCGACAAUCAUCCUCCCAUCCACUAAAAACCGGAAGAGAGGCCUGGUAGAGCUGGAACGUAAUGAAGCAAGACAGUUUUUGCAGAAAGUUGAUACUAUUCUGAGGUCCAACCCGAAAGGUGAAGAAAUCUUCAAAGAAUAUGACAAAACUAAGACGCUGUCAGACACGACACGCAGACAUAUGAUCAACAUUCUGGUUGCAGAAAUGACAGAUUCACAUGGGAGGAUUCCCCCCAGAAGUGUCAGGACUAGUUAUGCACUCGGAAUUGUGACCCUUUUCCCAUAUCUACAAGAUCCGUACUCAGAGCAUGGAUAUGAACAUUACUAUGACCCUGAGGCGAAUACUGGCUAUCUUGCUUGGAGACUCAAGACAGUCCAACGCAACACGCACGAUGGCCUCCGUGGGCAUUCCAGGCCCAAUCCCCAGGGCAGUCCAACAACCCAACGAGAAUCUUUGUUGAUUGCUGAACAGCUCAAGGAUGAGGAGUGCAGAGAGGCCGUGUCUGUAAUAAGACACUCCACAGAUGAAUCCGUGGUCAAAGAGAAGAUGAGAGCCACCUUCGAAUACAGACAGAAGCUGGUUCAUGACCAGGAUGCAACAUCUUCAGUCUUUGACGUCUUCC